rnacentral:rRNA from 1 species
UACGGGGGGAGCAAGCGUUGUUCGGAUUUACUGGGCGUAAAGGGCGCGUAGGCGGCGCAACAAGUCGGUUGUGAAAUCCCCGGGCUUAACCUGGGAACUGCAUCCGAGACUGCAUGGCUAGAGUAUGGGAGAGGGAAGUGGAAUUUCAGGUGUAGCGGUGAAAUGCGUAGAUAUCUGAAGGAACAUCAGUGGCGAAAGCGACUUCCUGGACCAAUACUGACGCUCAUGUGCGAAAGCGUGGGGAGCAAACAGG